GAUGCACACAGCUCAUCAGACAACAGCUUAGAAGAGGAAAUCUAUUCUUUGUGUAGCAAGAAAAAAUACCACUUCCCAUCAAGUACUUUCUAUACAAUUUUUGAAAGUACAAGUUUCAGUGCAUCAUUGGGGUUAAAACAUUCAGGGUUGUAUGGUUAAUUAGUCUAAAGCUUUCUAUCUGAGAUUUGUUAUGCAGAGUUUGUAAUCCAAUUGUAUGUAAACAAGAAAUUUGAAUCCAAUCCCAUUCAUUUGCAUAGUAUUUUUGGAUAUUUAUUAUUGUUCUGCUAUAAAUUCUUCCGUUAGAGUCUUAACUGUAUGGUCAUGUAGCAAAAAACCACAGAUAUAGAUAAAAGGCAGCAUUUCUUAAGAGUGCAUAGGGAAAUUGCUGCCACAGGAUAUCAUAAGCUUAUGUAGCUUUAAAAUUCAAGUAGGAUAAGAUUAUCAGUGUUCCGAAUUCAGAGGUAUCGUGGUUGGCCACUGUGUAAGACAAAGCAUUGAACUAGAUAGGCUGGGGGGAGGGGGGGCUUUUUAUAUCAGCCAUAUAUCUUUGGGCGAUAAUCCAUUGAGGCUGUGCGCUAGGUGUGGGUGGGACUGAAAUCAACAGUGGACUCCAUCUGUCUCACAGGGAUGUCCUGCCUUGCCAUCAGGGCAGCCAACCUGGCCACUGGGGAGUCCACAGGAUAAAGCACAGGCCAGCAAUAUAUAAUUCCUCUUCAUUGCAGCACUGGCAGGACCAUCAUGGACAACAAAUGACUGUAUUGAGGAUCACAAAGACUGCCUUUGAUGUGCAAGAAUGAAAAUAUUGAAUUGUUCCUAGCUUAAUAGUUCAGGGAAUAGCACAUGAUGCUGUUGAACCAAGCAAGGCUUGUCUUUUAGCUGUCUUAGAAGGAAAACUUUCUCACUUGUCUUAAAUAUAAUUUAAGUGUGUGGCAUUAUGUUGCUAAGCUAGAAUGGUCUUACUCAAGAUGGCUGAAAGUAAUAGCAUUUGUAGUCCAACACAUCUGAAGGGAUCAGUUUGAGCAAGAGUGAACAAAAACUUCUUUUUCUAUUCAAAGCUGAAUGUAAUUGGCUGGGUUUUAUAAAACCAAAUGAAUUUGUAUGGCUAGAAUUACCAUCUCAUACAUUUUUCAAAUAAAUGAUUAAACU